rnacentral:tRNA from 2 species
GCGAGUAUAGUUUAGUGGCAGAACAUCUGGUUGCCAAUCAGAAAACGGGGGUCCGAUUCCCCCUACUCGCA